GGUUAAGUGAAUAAGGGCGCACGGUGGAUGCCUUGGCACUAGGAGCCGAUGAAGGACGGGACUAACACCGAUAUGCUUUGGGGAGCUGUAAGUAAGCUAUGAUCCAGAGAUUUCCGAAUGGGGGAACCCAAUAUCUUUUAUAGGAUAUUACUUUUCAGUGAAUACAUAGCUGAUUAGAGGUAGACGCAGAGAACUGAAACAUCUUAGUACCUGCAGGAAGAGAAAGAAAAUUCGAUUCCCUGAGUAGCGGCGAGCGAAACGGGAAGAGCCCAAACCAACAAGCUUGCUUGUUGGGGUUGUAGGACUCCAAUAUGGUAGUCUGUUAGUAUAGUUGAAGGAUUUGGAAAAUUCCGCUAAAGAGGGUGAAAGCCCCGUAGACGAAAUGCUAACAACACCUAGGAGGAUCCUGAGUACGGCGGAACACGAGAAAUUCCGUCGGAAUCCGCGGGGACCAUCCCGCAAGGCUAAAUACUCCCUAGUGACCGAUAGUGAACCAGUACCGUGAGGGAAAGGUGAAAAGCACCCCGGAAGGGGAGUGAAAUAGAUCCUGAAACCGUGUGCCUACAACAAGUCAAAGCUCGUUAAUGAGUGAUGGCGUGCCUUUUGUAGAAUGAACCGGCGAGUUACGAUUGCAUGCGAGGUUAAGUCGAAGAGACGGAGCCGCAGCGAAAGCGAGUCUGAAUAGGGCGAAUGAGUAUGUAGUCGUAGACCCGAAACCAUGUGAUCUACCCAUGUCCAGGUUGAAGGUGCGGUAAAACGCACUGGAGGACCGAACCCACGUACGUUGAAAAGUGCGGGGAUGAGGUGUGGGUAGCGGAGAAAUUCCAAACGAACUUGGAGAUAGCUGGUUCUCUCCGAAAUAGCUUUAGGGCUAGCCUCGGAAUUGAGAAUGAUGGAGGUAGAGCACUGUUUGGACUAGGGGCCCAUCUCGGGUUACCGAAUUCAGAUAAACUCCGAAUGCCAUUCAUUUAUAUCCGGGAGUCAGACUGCGAGUGAUAAGAUCCGUAGUCGAAAGGGAAACAGCCCAGACCACCAGCUAAGGUCCCAAAAUAUAUGUUAAGUGGAAAAGGAUGUG
rnacentral:rRNA from 1 species